AAGUCGUAACAAGGUUUCCGUAGGUGAACCUGCGGAAGGAUCAUUACCACGUAUCCAAAAGUUAAAACCCCCCCCGUGAACCUUCAUCCUGCUCUUGUAACCCGCGUAGUUCGCAAUCUCUGAUAAAUCAUAGCCCGGAAAGUUGUAGUGAUUCAGAGACCUCUGGCUACGUGCGAACAUUGGAACAGUUACAAUCGAGCGGUAGUUCUAUAGGCAAUGUUUUGGAUAUCUUGGUUCUC
rnacentral:misc_RNA from 1 species